AGAGUUUGAUCUUGGCUCAGGACGAACGCUGGCGGCGUGCCUAAUACAUGCAAGUCGAGCGGACAGAAGGGAGCUUGCUCCCGGAUGUUAGCGGCGGACGGGUGAGUAACACGUGGGUAACCUGCCUGUAAGACUGGGAUAACUCCGGGAAACCGGAGCUAAUACCGGAUAGUUCCUUGAACCGCACGGUUCAAGGAUGAAAGACGGUUUCGGCUGUCACUUACAGAUGGACCCGCGGCGCAUUAGCUAGUUGGUGGGGUAAUGGCUCACCAAGGCGACGAUGCGUAGCCGACCUGAGAGGGUGAUCGGCCACACUGGGACUGAGACAUGGCCCAGACUCCUACGGGAGGCAGCAGUAGGGAAUCUUCCGCAAUGGACGAAAGUCUGACGGAGCAACGCCGCGUGAGUGAUGAAGGUUUUCGGAUCGUAAAGCUCUGUUGUUAGGGAAGAACAAGUGCGAGAGUAACUGCUCGCACCUUGACGGUACCUAACCAGAAAGCCACGGCUAACUACGUGCCAGCAGCCGCGGUAAUACGUAGGUGGCAAGCGUUGUCCGGAAUUAUUGGGCGUAAAGGGCUCGCAGGCGGUUUCUUAAGUCUGAUGUGAAAGCCCCCGGCUCAACCGGGGAGGGUCAUUGGAAACUGGGAAACUUGAGUGCAGAAGAGGAGAGUGGAAUUCCACGUGUAGCGGUGAAAUGCGUAGAGAUGUGGAGGAACACCAGUGGCGAAGGCGACUCUCUGGUCUGUAACUGACGCUGAGGAGCGAAAGCGUGGGGAGCGAACAGGAUUAGAUACCCUGGUAGUCCACGCCGUAAACGAUGAGUGCUAAGUGUUAGGGGGUUUCCGCCCCUUAGUGCUGCAGCUAACGCAUUAAGCACUCCGCCUGGGGAGUACGGUCGCAAGACUGAAACUCAAAGGAAUUGACGGGGGCCCGCACAAGCGGUGGAGCAUGUGGUUUAAUUCGAAGCAACGCGAAGAACCUUACCAGGUCUUGACAUCCUCUGACAACCCUAGAGAUAGGGCUUUCCCUUCGGGGACAGAGUGACAGGUGGUGCAUGGUUGUCGUCAGCUCGUGUCGUGAGAUGUUGGGUUAAGUCCCGCAACGAGCGCAACCCUUGAUCUUAGUUGCCAGCAUUUAGUUGGGCACUCUAAGGUGACUGCCGGUGACAAACCGGAGGAAGGUGGGGAUGACGUCAAAUCAUCAUGCCCCUUAUGACCUGGGCUACACACGUGCUACAAUGGACAGAACAAAGGGCUGCGAGACCGCAAGGUUUAGCCAAUCCCAUAAAUCUGUUCUCAGUUCGGAUCGCAGUCUGCAACUCGACUGCGUGAAGCUGGAAUCGCUAGUAAUCGCGGAUCAGCAUGCCGCGGUGAAUACGUUCCCGGGCCUUGUACACACCGCCCGUCACACCACGAGAGUUUGCAACACCCGAAGUCGGUGAGGUAACCUUUAUGGAGCCAGCCGCCGAAGGUGGGGCAGAUGAUUGGGGUGAAGUCGUAACAAGGUACCCGU
rnacentral:rRNA from 1 species